rnacentral:rRNA from 1 species
UGCCAGCCGCCGCGGUAAUACGAAGGGUGCUAGCGUUGUUCGGAAUUACUGGGCGUAAAGCGCACGUAGGCGGACUUUUAAGUCAGAUGUGAAAUCCCAAGGCUCAACCUUGGAACUGCAUUUGAAACUGGGAGUCUAGAGAUCAGGAGAGGUUAGUGGAAUACCGAGUGUAGAGGUGAAAUGCGUAGAUAUCUGGAGGAACAUCAGUGGCGAAGGCGGCCCACUGGGAUUGUUCUGACGCUGAGGCGCGAAAGCGUGGGGAGCGAACGGGAUUAGAUA